GUGGAUUCUUCACCACUGAGCCACCUGAGAAGCCCAGGUAAGAAAAUGAUGGUGUUAUAAUUUAGAGAUUCAACGAUGGAUCAGCUUUCUCCAUCUGCCAGCUGGUAUUGGGGUCAGGGUGUAUUAAAUAGGAAGAUUAAAUGUUUUCGUAUUGGGGGUGAUACCCAAAAAACUUCCUGUUUGCACCCUAAUGGGCUACCCCCAAAUAAGAGGGUUGCAGAAAGUGAGAAUACCUGACAGUUUCCAAAGGGGGAUGACAAGAUCUUGGACACUACUCUCAAAGGCACAUUGUCCGAAAAGAAGAAUUAUGGGGCCUAAAGGCAUGGGGAGAAGCUCUGCUCUUCUACUCAUGGUUAUGACAGUGACCCAAACCAGCAAGAGAUAGUUAUAGAAGAUGGACCUUCACCCCUAAUUGCCCCUCAAGAAGGAAGAAUAAGACACAGGGCCAAGGAAGGAUUAAAACUCAUUAUCAGGUCCUGGGAAAUAGAAUCUGAUAAUAAAAUCGAAUCGUUUUUUCCUUUGUGCUUAGUUUCACUUGAUCGAAGGGUACUGCGUGCAGCGGCCUUCUACCCAGCAAUUCAGAUGAGAGUUCCUAGUGUGAAGCGGCUGCACCUGAUACUUGAGCUUGGCGUAGGUCUUGCAGAAGCUCUGCGCAUGACACCAGGGAUCGGCAGACCAAUGCGCGCCCAGCACGGUGAUCUGAGGCUUGAGCAGUGACACAGACGCUCACGCACACGCACACGCACACGCACACGCGCACACCCUCAGACGCACAAGAGCUCCGCCCCUUUCCGCUGACAGAAACAUAAAACCUUGCGUUUGGCUAUUACCUGUGUUCUUUCCUGAGGAGCCUGGGGUCUCGCACCUCUCCAUUCUUUGAUGAAGAACGAAACUUUCCUUCACUUCCGAACCGAACUCGGCCUGGUACUAUGGGCGACUGUGAGAAGUGGGGACCCCUACACCCUGUUUCUUCCUUCAGGAGUCUACAAAUUCUAACCACAUCCUCACUGAAGAUACAACUGGGAAAGAGCUGCUCUGUCUAGAAACCUAUCUUCGUUCAUUUGUUGGUACUGCUUCAUGCAGGUGGCAUAAGAUGGUAAAGAAUCCACCUGCGAUGCAAGAGAUGUGGGUUUGAUCGCUGAGUUGGAAAGAUCCCCUGGACCAGGAAAUGGCAACCCACCCCAGUAUUCUUGCCUGGGAAAUCCCAUGGACAGAGGGGCCUGGUGGGGUACAGUCCCUGGGGUCACAAAAGACUCAGACAUGACUGAGCAUGCACAUGCAACAGAUUUUACCUGUCUUCCACCCAGCCUCACUUAAGACCCUAAGGUCAUUAAUCCAGGCUACCCACUGGAGAAAGGCACCGUUACCCUGUGGCCUGUCGUUACACUGCCUCUCCAGAUUUCGGCAUGGCCAUGUGGACUGAGGGUGGACUGGCAGGAUGCAGGCCCCAGUGCCGAAAUCAUAGGCAAGGGUGGUGGUAAUUCAGAGUGCCCUUACUGCUUGUAUUUUGCUUAGUGGUCAUGAUCUCCAUUGUUUUGUGCCUAUUAAACAUCUUAUGCUUUGUCCAGAGUCUUAGUGGCAGGAAUUUGUUUUUAGACUGGGCAAUAAUGUUGGUCUCACUGAAAAAUGGGCCUGAUUGCUGGGUCUACAGUGAAAUGCCAUUGUCGUCCUCCAUGGGGCUUCCCUGAAAAAUUGACCCAGUAAGUGCCUGGCUUACUUUUUGUACUCUUGAGCUGUCUUUGGGUUUCCCACAUGGCAGUAGUGUAAAGAACCCACCUGCCAGUGCAGAAGACAUAAGAGAUGUGGGUUUGAUCCCUGGGUCAGAAAGAUCUUCUUGAGAAGGUCAUGGCAACUGACUACAGUAUUCUUGCUGGUAGAGUCCCAUGGACAGAGGAGUCUGGUGGGCUGUGGUCCAUAGGGUCACAGAGUCGGACACUACUGAAGUGAUUUAGCAUGCACACACGCCUGAGUUACUAUUAUCUGUAUUGCAUUUGUGGUGUCUGGUUGCAGUGUACCUUUACAUACCUGAACGCAGGGAUAUUUUGGAAGAGGGGUGGACCAGGAUUGUAAGAAUCGUGCAGGGAACGUAGUGGUGGAGUGUAUGGUCAGGCCACUCCAGAUAUUGUUCUCUUGCUCUCUCUACAUGCCCUGCUCCACCAGUCCCUGUUUCACCUAUACCCCCUCACAUGAACAUGCUUGCCCUCUGCCCCAGCUCGUGAUUGCUCAAAUCCUUUGGGCAGAAUGGCUCCAUCUGCUAGUUUAUUAGAGGGAAUCAUCAGCCUUUGUGAUGGUCAUUAAUC
ensembl:lncRNA